rnacentral:misc_RNA from 1 species
GAUGAAGAACGCAGCGAAAUGCGAUACUUGGUGUGAAUUGCAGAAUCCCGUGAACCAUCGAGUCUUUGAACGCAAGUUGCGCCCGAAGCCAUUAGGCCGAGGGCACGCCUGCCUGGGCGUCACACGUCGUUGCCCCCCCAUCUACUCCUUCGGGAUUGUGGGGGGCGGAUGAUGGCCUCCCGUGCGCCUCGUCGCGCGGUUGGCAUAAAUGCCAAGUCCUCGGCGACGCACGCCACGACAAUCGGUGGUUGCGAAACCUCGGUUGCCCGUCGUGUGCGGUCGUCGCGCAUCGAGGGCUCGAAAAAAUUGCCGGGCUCCGGCUCGGCUUUCAACGCGACCCCAGGUCAGGCGGGGUUACCCGCUGAAUUUAAGCAUAUCAAUAAGCGGAGGA